GAUGAACGCUGGCGGCGUGCCUAAUACAUGCAAGUCGAGCGAACAGACGAGGAGCUUGCUCCUCUGACGUUAGCGGCGGACGGGUGAGUAACACGUGGAUAACCUACCUAUAAGACUGGGAUAACUUCGGGAAACCGGAGCUAAUACCGGAUAACAUGUUGAACCGCAUGGUUCAACAGUGAAAGACGGUCUUGCUGUCACUUAUAGAUGGAUCCGCGCCGCAUUAGCUAGUUGGUAAGGUAACGGCUUACCAAGGCAACGAUGCGUAGCCGACCUGAGAGGGGGAUCGGCCACCCUGGAACUGAGCCACGGUCCAGGCUCCUACGGGAGGCACCAGUAGGGAAUCUGACGCAAUGGGCGAAAGCCUGACGGAGCAACGCCGCGUGAGUGAAGAAGGUCUUCGGAUCGUAAAGCUCUGUUAUUAGGGAAGAACAAAUGUGUAAGUAACUAUGCACGUCUUGACGGUACCUAAUCAGAAAGCCACGGCUAACUACGUG
rnacentral:rRNA from 1 species